AUCCAAAAUAGCAGCAUGAGGCCACGCAGCAGAAGGGAAACGGGGUUUUGUCCCUUAUUAACCGAUGCACGCUAUCAAUUUUAGCAGAGGAAUCCUUAAAAUAGAGGCAUGUCCCUUUUUAGUUGCCGUCGUGUCCCAACACCACAUGUCUGACCUUCCGCUUUGCGUGCGGUGUGCUGUGUAUUUCUAUAGCUGACUAACAGCAGUUGGUGAGGGAGGACGGUGGCUGCUGCCAGCAGAAUUCCCAGCACCUGAUACCUGAGGAUCGAGCUCAGUGUGUGUUUGCUCUGCCUGGAACACGGGAGUGGAGGCUGCUUUGUUUGUGCUGCAGAGCCUAGCUGAAACCACACAGCGCUCCUCUUGCAAAGAGGCUCUUGAAAUACUUGGAUUUGCCCCAGCUUUGCUUAAUGAAUGACACAGGUGAAGCAUAAAGCUGUUUUCCCAUGGUGCAUGUAGUCGGCGGUGCCACUUCCUUGCUCCAUAUCCACAUAGAGCCCUUGCUCAAGGGGCUUAUGAGUGCACUGCCUGUAUGGCAAAGUACCUGUGAGGAUAAUACCAGCACCCGAGGGCACCCUGAGGCUGUUUGCUGUUUGUGGUUGGCAAACCAUGCCCAUGGCUCUUGCUACAAUAAAAGCUUUUCUGGAAA